AUGAAACCCAAGAUAGCGGAUUUUGGUAUGGCCAGAAUCUUUGGUGACAACCAGCAAAACGCAAAUACCCAACGCGUAGUUGGAACAUAUGGGUACAUGGCUCCUGAGUAUGCAAUGGAAGGCGUAUUCUCUACCAAGUCUGACGUCUACAGUUUUGGUGUGCUGCUACUUGAGGUUGUAACUGGUAUUAAGAGAAACUCCAAUAGUCAAACCAUGGGAUUCCCUAGCCUCAUAAUAUAUUCAUGGCAUAUGUGGAAGGAAGAGAAGACCGAUGAACUGCCAGACUCAUGUAUCAUAGAUACUUCACCAGACGAAGUUUUGCUUUGCGUCCAGGUAGCACUCUUGUGUGUCCAGGAGAACCCAGAUGAUAGACCGCUCAUGUCAUCUAUUGUGUUCGUCCUAGAGAAUGGAAGCACCACACUUGCAGCUCCAAGCCGGCCCGCCUACUUUGCACGACGAAUAGCUGAAAUGGAUCAAAUGGGAAAUAAUAUGCAGACUUCCGCAAACAGUCUUACUCUUUCUGAGAUAGAGGGGCGAUGA
rnacentral:rRNA from 1 species